rnacentral:rRNA from 1 species
AUUGAACGCUGGCGGCAUGCUUUACACAUGCAAGUCGAACGGUAACAGGCCUUCGGGUGCUGACGAGUGGCGAACGGGUGAGUAAUGCAUCGGAACGUGCCCAAUCGUGGGGGAUAACGUAGCGAAAGUUACGCUAAUACCGCAUAAGCCCUGAGGGGGAAAUGGGGGACCGCAAGGCCUCACGCGAAUGGAGCGGCCGAUGUCAGAUUAGCUAGUUGGNGGGGUAAAGGCCCACAAGGCGACGAUCUGUAGCGGGUCUGAGAGGAUGAUCCGCCACACUGGGACUGAGACACGGCCCAGACUCCUACGGGAGGCAGCAGUAAGG